GGACAGGUGGCCGAGUGGUUUAAGGCAACGGUCUUGAAAACCGUCGUACCCGCAAGGGUACCGUGAGUUCGAAUCUCACCCUGUCCGCCA
rnacentral:tRNA from 1 species